UACAGAGGGUGCAAGCGUUGCUCGGAAUCAUUGGGCGUAAAGGGUAGGUAGGUGGUCUCAUUUGUCUGGGGUGAAAGCCUUGAGCUUAACUCAAGAAGUGCCCCGGAAACGGUGAGACUGGAGUCCUAGAGAGGCUAGCGGAAUUCCCGGUGUAGCGGUGAAAUGCGUAGAGAUCGGGAGGAACAUCAGAGGCGAAGGCGGCUAGCUGGAUAGGCACUGACACUCAACUACGAAAGCGUGGGGAGCAAACAGG
rnacentral:rRNA from 1 species